CAUUUCUUCCUCGUGAACGAACACAUCUACUCUGGUCCACUAGCUCCGUUCUCCCCCUCUCCCUCCAUCUAUAGGCGCUUGCUCUCCCCUACCGGCGACAAGCUGUGCCGGCCGGCCAUGGCAGCUCGUCAAGUAGCUAGUGCUCCUCCGCCAUGGCAGCACGUCAGUCCCAGCGCCACAAGCAGCACCCACUCCCUCUUUUUCUGCCCUCGAGGGUUCAUCGAGUCCUUGCUCCUCCGGGACCCCCCCGGACCGCACCGGUGCUGAUGCUGCCGACGACGACCACCCGCUGCUGCUACCACGCUGUAGUACAAGCUCCAGACCAAGUGGGCGGACGAGAUGCUGGAACCGGCCUCAAUGGAAGCUACAAUCGGCGGCAAUUUUUGCUACAAGUGUGUUUUUGUUUUGCUGGAGUCAGUAAUUUUUUUACGAUCUGUAAUUGAGGGUGUUUUCUGCUGGAACCAGCUUCAAAUUUUGCUACCACCGUAUAUAUUUUUUGCUCCCACCAUAGAGAUGUUCUUUGCUACUACUGUCUUUUUAAUUUUUGCUUUUUUGCUGGAUCCAUCUCUUUUUGCUGAAACCGCUUCCAAUUUUUUUGCUACCACUGUCAUUAUUUUUUGUUGUCACUGCCUUUGAAUUUUGCUACCAACUCGUCUCUUUGAUUUUUUGCUGGAUCCAUCUUUUUGCUGAAACCAACAAUUUUUUUUGCUACAUCUAGCUUUGAUUUUUGCUACCGUGGAUGGCCGGCGAGCACGGCUGCGCUGUUGGCCGGCAUGCACGGGCAGCCAAGGAUGGGCACCUGCAGCGGCGAGCGCGGAGUCCCCCUAGAUGGGAGUUGCUGGUCAACGCAGAGCCAGAUGCGAAGGGGAGAAGAUGAUUAGGGGAAAUUAACGGUUCGAGGUGGCCUAAUCCUACGGCUGGGGGCCGACCGGCCGAAAUUUUCGGCCUGUGCGCGGGCGCCUAACAGUCGCCUAUUUUAAAACGGAGGAAGUAUCUGGUGUAUACUUUAAUAUUUUUACCGCGUACUUUAAAGUAAAAAAUUGUCCUAUUUUGAGGCAUCAUCCGUCUUGGUCGACCGUUGUCCUCCCGCGUCAUGCGUUCUAGCUCCAGACUGUGCGAAUAAUCUCUGGGCGUACUUGCAAUUCAGCUAGUGUCGCGGAAUACAUUGCUUAUUAGAUGACCUUUUCUUUAGAUCCUUAUCUUAAUCCGACUAAUCAUGGCCAAGUGUAAUUUUUCUUUUCUUUCUUAAUUUUAGGCCUGUUGAUCCGGAGAUUUUGCUCGAGAGAGAAAGGGCCUUCUGGAGAGUUGCCAUGGAGUAUCGGAGAGCUCAAAACAUGGAUGCUGAGUAUGACUUGAUUCCAAGCAAUAUGACCUUAUCUCCUAUAAUGUCGGAGAGUGGCUUCUGGUACCAUGGAAAUCUUGUGGGCUCUAAGAGAGACUUCCCUUCGUAAGGGGCGCAACAAUUUUUUUCCUUGAGCUCAACCGUACUCGACAAAGGACUUACGAUGUGACAGCCUGUAUCACACUUGAUGAUUAUGAUGUUGACACUACAUGUAAGAGGUGCUCUUCUCAUACGGGCGUCUUGCAUCCACGCAGAGGCGGAUUUACUUUUGGGAGCAAAGAAGUAGGUCCAAGCAAGGAUAAUCUGGGAGCCACACCAGCAAGUAUAUCGGAUAGAGUUGUGCAUUCACCUGCUCCCUUGCCUACCCUAGGGAAUGAAACCCUAGAGCCUAUUAUCAGAAGACUAUCAACUAUGGUUGGAGGUGGAGCAUCCAAACCCGUAGCUGCAUCUGCAACUGCAAUAGGAACCCAUCCCAAGUCCAAAUCCUUGACAACAACGCCGAGUGGAAGCUCAAGGCUCAUCACGAAGAGGCAACUGGAAGUGGCAUUGGCAUCGGCAUUGGCUGGAGGUGGAACCUGCUCAUCUGAAGACAACAACCAAUGAAAUUAGCAGGAAUAAGUUAACGACUAAUUUUGGAGUUUGUUUACAACAGUAUAGGCCGGUCCAUGUUAGUUCACAACUAGUCCAACCAUGUUUCUCCAACUGUUUGGAGCUGGAACCAGGGAAAUAUAAGCGAUGUUGCAGUUGCAGAUCAUUUGUGCCAGUUGGGGUAGUGGCGGUGCCAGGAUCAAAAGUUUGUGAUGUCAUUUCAAAUCUGUGAUGCCAAAUACAUGUGUUCUCACCAAUUUUAUAUAGAAAAUUACAUGAUUUCUACUUGUGUACAAA